rnacentral:rRNA from 1 species
GACGAACGCUGGCGGCGUGCUUAACACAUGCAAGUCGAACGGAAAGGCCCCCUUGUGGGGUACUCGAGUGGCGAACGGGUGAGUAACACGUGAGUAACCUACCCUUGACUUUGGGAUAACUUCAGGAAACUGGGGCUAAUACCGGAUCGGAGCUCCUGCUGCAUGGUGGGGGGUGGAAAGUUUCGGCGGUUGGGGAUGGACUCGCGGCUUAUCAGCUUGUUGGUGGGGUAGUGGCUCACCAAGGCCUUGACGGGUAGCCGGCCUGAGAGGGUGACCGGCCACAUUGGGGCUGAGUUACGGCCCAGACUCCUACGGGAGGCAGCAGUGGGGAAUAUUGCGCACUGGGCGGAAGCCUGAUGCAGCAACGCCGCGUGCGGGAUGACGGCCUUCGGGUUGGAAACCGCUUUCGCCUGUGACGAAGCGUGAGUGACGGUAAUGGGUAAAGAAGCACCGGCUAACUACGUG